GUAGGGGUCUAGCGUUGUCCGGAAUCAUUGGGCGUAAAGAGCUCGUAGGCGGUUCGGCAAGUCGGAUGUGAAAUCUCCACGCUCAACGUGGAGGGGCCAUUCGAAACUGCCGUGACUCGAGUCCGGUAGGGGAGUGCGGAAUUCCCGGUGUAGCGGUGAAAUGCGCAGAUAUCGGGAGGAACACCAGUGGCGAAGGCGGCACUCUGGGCCGGAACUGACGCUGAGGAGCGAAAGCGUGGGGAGCGGACAGGAUUAGAUACCCUGGUAGUCCACGCCGUAAACGUUGGGCACUAGGUGUGGGACUCUAUCGACGGGUUCCGUGCCGUAGCUAACGCAUUAAGUGCCCCGCCUGGGGAGUACGGCCGCAAGGCUA
rnacentral:rRNA from 1 species